rnacentral:lncRNA from 1 species
GAAAAUGGCUGGAGAAAGGUCAAAUUUCUGUUUUUAGUGUUUCCUGGAGCUGUGCACCUGGGAAUCUUUUACUCCAUGUUUAUGACAGUUCAGCAAUGUCAGCUGUGGUUACUUGAGACACAGUGGUUAAACCUGACAUAGUCUGGGAUGUGCCACAAACUCCACAACCAUCCCGCAACCUCACAAUCCUUCUCAGAGUUAGUGCAGCGCAGUUAGCGGCACGCCAAAUUUACAAGCCAGGAGAGUUUGACAUCAGUGGGAGUCGUCUCAUAAAGGAGCGUACAACGUGACUCCAGAAGAGAGACGUGAAUUCC